rnacentral:rRNA from 1 species
CCUACGGGUGGCAGCAGUCGAGAAUCAUUCACAAUGGGGGAAACCCUGAUGGUGCGACGCCGCGUGGGGGAAUGAAGUUCUUCGGAUUGUAAACCCCUGUCAUGUGGGAGCAAAUUAAAAAGAUAGUACCACAAGAGGAAGAGACGGCUAACUCUGUGCCAGCAGCGGCGGGAAUACAGAGGUCUCAAUCGUUGUUCGGAAUCACUUGGCGUAAAGCGUUCGUAGGCUGUUUCGUAAGUCGUGUGUGAAAGGCGCGGGCUCAACCCGCGGACGGCACAUGAUACUGCGAGACUAGAGUAAUGGAGGAGGAAGCGGAAUGCUCGGUGUAGCAGUGAAAUGCAUAGAUAUCGAGAGGAACACUCGUGGCGAAGGCGGGUUCCUGGACAUUAACUGACGCUGAGGCACGAAGGCCAGGGGAGCGAAAGGGAUUAGAUACCCGGGUAGUC